AGCGAACGCUGGCGGCAGGCUUAACACAUGCAAGUCGAGCGGGCAUCUUCGGAUGUCAGCGGCAGACGGGUGAGUAACACGGGGGAACGUACCCGUCGGUUCGGAACAACUCUGGGAAACUGGAGCUAAUACCGGAGACGCCCUGAUGGGGAAAGGUUUACUGCCGAAGGGUGGGCCCGCGUCUGAUUAGCGAGUUGGUGGGGGAACGGCCUACCAAGGCGACGAACAGUAGCUGGUCUGUGAGGAUGAUCAGCCACACUGGGUCCGAGACACGGCCCAGACUCCGACGGGUGGCCGCAGUGGGGAAUCCUGAUGAAGGGGCGCAAGCUUGAUCAUGCCGUGCCGCGGGUUGGAUGCACCCUUCAGGGUUGUAAAGCCCUUUUGGCCGGGAGGAUAGUGACGGUACCGGAAGAAUAAGCCCCGGCUAACUUCGUG
rnacentral:rRNA from 1 species